CAGGCCUAACACAUGCAAGUCUAACGAGAAACUCCGGGCUUGCUCGGGAGAGUAAAGUGGCGCACGGGUGAGUAACGCGUGGGUAACCUGUCCUUAAAUCCGGGAUAACUCACCGAAAGAUGGUCUAAUACCGGAUGUCGUCCUGAGUGUUACGGCUCUCAGGAUGAAAGCUGACCGCUUCGUGAAAGCUAUCGUUUGGAGAUGAGCCCGCGUCCCAUUAGCUUGUUGGCAGGGUAACGGCCUACCAAGGCUACGAUGGGUAGCUGGUCUGAGAGGAUGAUCAGCCACACUGGAACUGACACACGGUCCAGACUCCUACGGGAGGCAGCAGUGAGGAAUUUUGCGCAAUGGGGGAAACCCUGACGCAGCAACGCCGCGUGAGUGAUGAAGGCUUUCGAGUCGUAAAGCUCUGUCAAGUGGGAAGAACCUACUAAGUGCCAAUAUCACUUAGUACUGACGGUACCACUGAAGGAAGCACCGGCUAACUCCGUGCC
rnacentral:rRNA from 1 species